CACAUGUAUGCUCAUCUCGCUGUCGCCACAGGGGAAUCCGGUGUGAAUCCGGAACUGUCCCGCAACGGUGUGAUCCGGUGCGCUUUGCCGUACCCGUUCGAGUCCGAGGACCUGUCGACGGCGCAUCCGGUUC
rnacentral:ncRNA from 2 species